GCCCCGGCCAGCCGCAAACAACUUCUGGAAACAAGGUGAAAGGCCGAGGUAGGCGAGGGUUCUGAGACAUGUUUUACUCCCGGAGCCAGUGCGGAAGGCUCGGAUCCGGGUCAUUCCUGCCGCGUCGCGCCUCUGCCCUGCGCUGCCCGCGUGGAGUGGCUUUCGGGGGCACGACGGGAGCGCCUGAGCCAGCAGCGGGGCCGCGGUAAUCUCUACGCCCAGGGUGGGGCUUGAAUUUACAGCCCUGAGAUGAGAGACACAUGUUCUACCGACUGAACCAGCCAGGUGCCCCAGCGUCUUCCCCGGGCAUUAAGUACAUGUCACAUUGUUGUGCAACCACCCCACCAUCCAUCUCCGGAACUUUCUCAUCUUCCCAAGAAGGCUGCUUACUACAGUGAUAGUAAAAAGAUUUUGAAAGGGGGGGAAAAAGUCCACAGAAAGAAACAAAGCAAAAAGAUCAGUUGGCAGAAUUUUGGAAGCUGGAAAUCAGAUCAUCUCUGACCUGAGAAGAUGGACCAUCAGUUGCCAGUAUUGCAGGGAAACCAAAAACAAGGUCAGUUAGUCCAGUGAGUCUGGAAGAAUCUGGGAGUCACAGGCCACAGCCCGACCUCUGAGAGAGGGGAUGGGGUUGAACAAAGGAGGACUGACUGAGGAGCCUCUGAGACUGCCCUCUGCACACCCUCCGUCACCUGCGCCUUCAGGUGCACACCUCACCAUCGUCGUGGCAGAGAACUUUCAUUCCAGAGGAUCUAACCGGAAGGACUCUGGAUCUGAGGACAGCAGACCGCGAAGGCGAGGACGCAGCAGUACGCUGAGAUUACGUGAAGUUCACUUGCUAAUAGGCCCUCGGAGCCUUUUCCUCCAGUCCGCUGCAAGGAUGUUGGCCACUGGGUUCUCCCGUGCUCUGCUACAGCCACGGCCCUUCUCCUGGGCAAGAAAGUAAAGAAUUCCUGUCUGGGAAAACUGACCCGUCUAAGACAAGGCCUCAGUUACUGAAGAUGGGUGAUCUCCAGUCACACUGGGCCACUGCGUGUCAGCCCAGUGAGGGCGCCAGCUCGGUGGCUCUGACCCUUAAACACUGAUGUAGGAUCAGCAGACGUUGGGAGGCAUCCUGACUGGGAGAAGGAGCAAACCAGGGAAAAACAACAACAAACCAACCCACGACCCCUGAGAAACUAAAACAGCUAUGGUACCGAAACAUAACGAUCCAAGGGUACUGUAGCUAUGAAGCCAGGAUGGGCUGCUGAGAAUGAGGAACGGUGAGGAGGAAGGUUAACAAAUGAGCAACAGCAGAGCAGAAAGCAGUCUGCUGCAAGGGUGGUGAAUGCUUCUCGCAGGGCCUCAAACGCCAGGGGGAAGUCCUGCUCUAGAAGGGUUUCCUAUGGCUCCACGGAGGUGAGCAGUGGUAGUACAGAUUUCACCACAGUUUUUUUAAGGAAAAAAAAAUCUGAGCCCUCUAGCCACCAAUUUCUUCCAAAGUGACCGCAAUUGUUCUGAGAAAUUAAAACCAUCACGGAAAAGGCUACAUUAUAGUUUAUUGUCGUCCUAACUCAUUUCAGGGUGACAAGUGACAUCAUUGUACUGUAAUUUACGACUCUAAGGCAGCAUCAGCUGAAGACAUUUUCUGCCUUUUUAAAACACAAGAUUCUCAACAUUACCAGAUUUGUUUCUCCAUCUUGAAUCACAUGAUCUGGAGUCAGCUAAAGUCCUGACGAGGUGUGUCUGCUCUGUCACCCCAGGCAAGUGGGUCCCUACGCACAUGGCAGCGUGUCCGCGUUCACUCCAGGCCGUCUUCACUUCCCCAGAGAGGCCAGGUAGACGUACCAGAACAGAGACACCAGGUUGGCAACAAGCACCCGGAACUGCCAAAGCGAACACAGGCCACAGUGAGCGGAGCCCAACUGCUUCCCCGGCGCCCAUCCCCCAGCACUGAGCCCAUCCCCCCAGGACUGUUCACUGAGCCUUACUUUGUACUAAGCGGGACGCUGCCUAACCGUGUUACAGGCCAGGAGGGAAAACCGACGGGAACCGUCCUGCCGCCUCCUUCCCUGGGCACCAGCUCCUGGCGUAGCUUCUCACCGCAGGACUGGCCAUCAGGUGGCGGCUUCACCCAGCCCACGGUGACCCCCGCACCCACUGAAGCCAUUAUCCUGCUUUGAUGAUCGUGUGGAUGUGCUCCCACCUGAAAUGACCUUUAAUCUGUUUUCUCGCAGCUUCCCAGACACUCCUUUUCACCGUCAAGGGCUCACCUGCCAUCACAGCUGAAGUCCUGCUUCUCCCUGCCCCCCACAAGGAUCGCUUUAGGCCACGAGGGGCGCUCUCCUCAGUAACAAGACCUGCCUCACGAUGCUGCCUCAAAAUAAAGCCUGCGGGAGGAGCGCUGCCCUGCGGUGACCGGCUGGACCUUUCGGGCAGAGCGGGACACAUCUCGGGCACACAGCGGACGCGGGGCGGCCAGCGGCUGCAGGUCUGCUGACCUGGGAAGGGUCUGGGGCUGCGCACGCUAGAACAGACAUGGCUGGUGAUGCGCGUGAACCCGCCUCUCGUGCAAGGAAUUGUGAGGUUUUAAGUCGAUGCUGAUAUCGAGCAUUUAUGAUUUUCAGGCACGGAAUUAGCACAGGCUUCUGCACCACCAUGAGGGGCCUGACUUCUGCUUCAUGAAGCCCAGGGACCUGCUUCUCAGAAUCCUGUUUACGUAACAUGUAAGAGUACCAGGGAGCGAUGCUGAGAACAGCUAUCAGAAUCCUCAGAGAAGAAUCUUAGGACAGACCAGUGCAUGUGCCUCCUCAACACAUUCAGUGAGGAGACCUGAAGGCAGGUGCAAGGGGUCCGGAGACAUAAAAGAUGUUCUGGAAUGUGUGAUAUCAAAACGUCUGUGAUUUCUUACUGCAGACUGACAGGUACCACCAGUAUGACUCUGGUUUGUGUCUGACACUCGAAAAAAUGAGAAAUUUCAAUCUUAGUGUACUAGAAAGUUCACAGACCCUCUGAAAUCCACCCACGUGUGCCAGGUCAAGAAUCGCCGUGCCCCACAGAGAGCCAGUAAGUACCACACCAGCAACCAACCUCCAGGAAGUUCAUGGUGGAGAGGAACAACAACAGGAAGGCCGGUGCAAAGAGGAGGCGGUCCAGGAGGAGCCGCUUGACCCCAGCGCAGGGCGCCUCAGAAGGGAUCCAGCGCUCCAUGAAGAGGUAGAAGAAGUGACUCAGUGGCCCUGUGAAGAAGAACCUGGGGCCCCGCAGCAGGGGUGAGCAGGACUGCCAUUUUCUGGGUGCCUCCUCCUCGGGUCCAGCCUCACCCCCAAACCCCAGGUCCUAAACCCUGCCCCUGGGGGUCCCCCAUCACUGACCACACAGGUGUGCGUGGUGCUUCUAGAAAAUAGGCUUUCUUUGAAUCAGCUUCAAGCAUUGUCUUUUGUCUCUGAUAGACCAGAUCCCCCAUCAGUCUUCAUGUGGCCAGCUGCUUCUCAACACUGUCAGCUCGGAGACUGUUCCUGAUCGUUCUGGAUAAUGAACUGGCUGCUGUCUCAGCCCCUUGCAAUUCCACGUCCUGUUUCAGUGCCGUCAAGGCACUUAUCACCGCACGUCCUGGUCUCGUUUGUGUAGUCAUGCGGUGCCCUCUGCCCCCUCCCCCUCCCGGAGGUAAAUGUCACAAGACGGACCAUCUCUGUCUAAGCACUGCCGUGUCCACAGUGCCUGGAAAAUGGCGUGGCUCGGAGAAGGUGCUCAGUACUAAAUAACUGGGUGCAGCCCUGCUGUCAGAGGUGUUCAGUAAAGCCUGCCGGGUAGUCAGCAAGAGUGAAACCUGGUGCCGGGCACUGGCUCGUCUGUCCUGCUACCGUGCGUUCCAGGGUGUAGCACGCUCGGGACAGACCUGAACCGGCCGCGGCCGCGGGCACAACACGCCCCCAGCUGUGGGACUCCGCAAGACGAAGAUGGGGGGGCCUACGGGUCUUCCCACUUUUGACACCGGGUCCUUAGGCAAGUGGUUCUCUGCUGCAGCUUCCUGUCUGCCGCAGGUUAUGUGGCCUGGAGCGGGGGCCUCAGCGGGAGGGAACGGAAGCCAACACCACAAACUGUGAGUGCGUGAGGCCGCCCAGGCGGUCCUGACUCCUGCCUCCCCUCCAGGAGCAUUAUGGCUUUAUCUUUGUCUACAUUAUGGAAAAGCUGUGGGGGCUGCAACCAGCAUGCUUCCAAACACAAAGAGAUAUUUGUGGAUUUUAAAUAAAAAACAAAACAAGACUUCAAAAUAAUCCACCUAUACAAACACUAUUGUUGGCCAGGAAAUGUGGCGUGGAUCUAAUCAGGUAAAACUGAACCUCUGUGUUCUUUGCAGUUCUGAAAGUGAUUCAGAAACUGGACAUUUUUCAGGAGAACCAAGUAUUAUUUUCUGGAUGUUUAAGCUAUAAAAAUAAUAGAAACAACUAGCCAUAUGUAAGUA